UACGUAGGUGGCGAGCGUUGUUCGGAAUUACUGGGCGUAAAGCGCGCGCAGGCGGUCCUUCAAGUCAGAGGUGAAAGCCCAGAGCUCAACUCUGGAAUUGCCUUUGAAACUGCAGGACUUGGGUACGGGAGAGGUGAGUGGAAUUCCGAGUGUAGAGGUGAAAUUCGUAGAUAUUCGGAAGAACACCAGUGGCGAAGGCGGCUCACUGGCCCGUUACCGACGCUCAGGCGCGACAGCGUGGGGAGCAAACAGG
rnacentral:rRNA from 1 species